UCCUUUGUAGUGUAAUGGCUAUCACGGUUCGCUCUCAUUUGAAGAAUUUAAUUCGAAAGAUUGCGCCGAGCAGAUCCGGGUUCGAUUCCCGGCAAGGGAG